rnacentral:rRNA from 1 species
UUCCGGUUGAUCCCGCCGGACCUGACUGCUAUCGGAUUGAUACUAAGCCAUGCUAGUCUUUGUAGUAAUACAAGGCAUACGGCUCAGUAACGCGUAGUCAACCUACCCUAUGGACGGGGAUAAUCUCGGGAAACUGAGCAUAAUACCCGGUAGACCACUUCUCCUGGAAUGGUUAGUGGUUAAAAUGAUUCGUCGCCAUAGGAUGGGACUGCGGCCUAUCAGCUUGUUGGUGAGGUAAUGGCCCACCAAGGCGAUUACAGGUACGGGCUCUGAGAGGAGAAGCCCGGAGAUGGGUACUGAGACAAGGACCCAGGCCCUAUGGGGCGCAGCAGGCGAGAAAACUUUGCAAUGUGCGAAAGCACGACAAGGUUAAUCCGAGUGAUUUCUGCUAAAGGAAUCUUUUGUUAGUUCUAAAUCUACUAGUGAAUAAGGGGUGGGCAAGUUCUGGUGUCAGCCGCCGCGGUAAAACCAGCACCUCAAGUGGUCAGGAGGAUUAUUGGGCCUAAAGCAUCCGUAGCCUGUUCUAUAAGUUUGCGGUUAAAUCUAUACGCUCAACGUAUAGGCUGCCGUAAAUACUGUAGAACUAGGGAGUGGGAGAGGUAGACGGUACUCGGUAGGAAGGGGUAAAAUCCUUUGAUCUAUUGAUGACCACCUGUGGCGAAGGCGGUCUACCAGAACACGUUCGACGGUGAGGGAUGAAAGCUGGGGGAGCAAACCGGAUUAGAUACCCGGGUAGUCCCAGCUGUAAACGAUGCAGACUCGAUGAUGCAAUGGCAUAGAGCUAUUGCAGUAUCGCAGGGAAGCCGUUAAGUCUGCCGCCUGGGAAGUACGUACGCAAGUAUGAAACUUAAAGGAUUGGCGGGGGAGCACCACAAGGGGUGAAGCCUGCGGUUCAAUUGGAUUCAACGCCGGG